rnacentral:rRNA from 1 species
UACGUAGGGUGCGAGCGUUAAUCGGAAUUACUGGGCGUAAAGCGUGCGUAGGCGGUUCGUUAAGUGCGUCGUGAAAGCCCCGGGCUCAACCUGGGAAUGGCGAUGGAAACUGGCGGGCUGGAGUAUGGCAGAGGGGGGUGGAAUUCCGCGUGUAGCAGUGAAAUGCGUAGAGAUGUGGAGGAACACCGAUGGCGAAGGCAGCCCCCUGGGCUAACACUGACGCUCAUGCACGAAAGCGUGGGGAGCAAACAGG